rnacentral:rRNA from 1 species
UACGUGGGGUGCAAGCGUUGUUCGGAAUUACUGGGCGUAAAGCGUGCGCAGGCGGUUCGUUGUGUCGGUGGUGAAAGCCCCGGGCUCAACCUGGGAAUGGCCAUGGAAACUGGCGAACUGGAGUGUGGCAGAGGGGGGUGGAAUUCCGCGUGUAGCAGUGAAAUGCGUAGAGAUGCGGAGGAACACCGAUGGCGAAGGCAGCCCCCUGGGCUAGCACUGACGCUCAGGCACGAAAGCGUGGGGAGCAAACAGG